CUACGGGUUGCACCAGUGAGGAAUAUUGCACAAUGGAGGAAACUCUGAUGCAGCAACGCCGCGUGGAGGAUGACGCAUUUCGGUGUGUAAACUCCUUUUAUAUGUCAAGAAAAUGACGGUAGCAUAUGAAUAAGCUCCGGCUAACUCCGUGCCAGCAGCCGCGGUAAUACGGAGGGUGCAAGCGUUACUCGGAAUCACUGGGCGUAAAGGACGCGUAGGCGGGUUGGGAAGUCAGGUGUGAAAUCCUACAGCUUAACUGUAGAACUGCACUUGAAACUUCUAAUCUAGAGUAUGGGAGGGGGAGAUGGAAUUAGUGGUGUAGGGGUAAAAUCCGUAGAUAUCACUAGGAAUACCUAAAGCGAAGGCGAUCUCCUGGAACAUUACUGACGCUAAGGCGUGAAAGCGUGGGGAGCAAACAGGAUUAGAUACCCGCGUAGUC
rnacentral:rRNA from 1 species